GCUGAGGAGAAGCCUGAUGGGUUACGCUUCAGAAUUUCAUGUGCUCAUGGGUAGGCUGGAACUUGGAUGUGCAUUGGCAGGUCUGCAUUGGCAGACCAGAUGUCACCAUACAGACAACAAUAUCCUACAGGACAGAAAAGCUUGAAAGUAAAAGAAACUUUGGUGUUUGAAUAAACCACACAUUUGUCCUGGACAACCUGCCUAUCGUUGAACUGUUACAUGAGAGAAAAAGAGAUUUCUCUCUUAUUUGAACAAUUGCAUUUUCAAGUCUUUUUGUUACAGCAGCAUAACUGAUACCCUAACCCUGACAAAUACAUUUUUAAACAAAAGGAGGAAUGCUACUAUCGUACUCUAUGCUGGUCCAGUCUUACUUGGGGUGCAGUAUUCUCAUCUGUGAAUCACAUUUCAAGGGGCCUAAAGACAAAGUAGAAGUGUUCAGAUAACAGCAACAUGAUUGGUGAGAAAUUCAAAGUUGAAGAAACUGGAAGAGCAGAUUUAGAGUAAGUAGGAGUGCCACUUUCAAAUGUCUGAGGAACUGGCCUGUGAAAGAAUGAUUCACUUUGUUCUGUGUAGUUUCAGUAGAUAGAAGUAUGGUUCAACGGGAAAACUGAUUUUGCUGAAGAGAAAGAUUUCUGGCUGUCAGGUCUGCAUAGACAUUGGAGGCACUGAGUUCCCUGCUCAUGGAGAUAUUUUUCACAGAGCCUGGAUAAUCAUUUGGCUGGAUUUGUAACAACUGUGUAUCAUACAGCAUGAAAAUGCAUUUUCUAGCUUCCCUUGAAGUGAAAUGUGAGCAAAAAUGAUGCCAGCCACUCCCAGACCGGCCCAUAGAAACCUCCCAUAUUCUUUCUUCUUCUGCUGCUGGAUAUUGACACAGGGGAUGACUUUGAAAGCUGAGUAUUGAAGAUGGCAGAAGCUGUCUUUCAGCCUUGGUCCCUGAACAACAUGUUGAGCAGAUCCCGUGGUAAUCUGGAACUGCCCUGGACUGUAGGAAUCAACUUCUUUAUACAACAAUGGCAGAGAAGUUCUACAAUAUGGAGUCCUGUGAUAAAAGGUCCAGCUGACUGACCCACCAGCUGGUGACCAGCAGAGCAGAGGAGGAGCAAGCACAGGACCUUCACCUUUCCUGCCAGGUGUGGGCGCCAGUCAAGGUGGGCUCCAGGCUCUGAUGCAGGCAUGAGAGGAUGUUGCAGCAGAUGUGCUGCUUGCUUUUAAAGCUCUGGAACACAACAAAGAUGAGGUUUUCUGUAGAUGUGUACAUGAUUUUCAUAUAGAAAGAUUUCCUUUUUCCUAAAGUCUAGAAAACAAGUAAAUACCAAGUGAAUCACUGA
rnacentral:lncRNA from 1 species